CACCUGCGGCCUUAUUGGAUCUUUCCAGCCGAGGCCAGCUCUUAAGCAGGGAAACCUCAGCAGCUGCAGUCUGCUUAGAGGUGACUGGAAUUUGGAUGGUUCAUGUAUGGCUGCGGCACUCAAAGUGGGACUGCAAUGCAGGUAAUCAUUAGCAAUUUAGUGCCUGUGAAACACUGAGAGGACAAUCAAUCUGGUGGACAAAACUCAGAAAACAUCCUGUAGCAGAUCCAUACCAGCCCACAAAAAAUCUAUACACUCCCAGCUCCUUGCUCAACUCUAAACAUCUCUGUCUGACUUAACAUUUUUAUGGUUCCCAGAUGCUGUUGCCACUAAUCCAGUACUGAGUAGAUAAGCACAUCACAGAAACCCAUCUGCAACUAAGACAUUCUUGUUAAGAAGAAUCAUUGUUUUUGAAAAUUUCAUUGAUGUCGCAAUUUCAGACAAAAUUUAUAACACAGCAAGAUUAGAAUUUGACAAAAACAAAUGCAGAACUGCUUCCAGAAAAUAUAAAGAACAAGUCUUAAAUUAAAGAUGAUAGAUGUCUGCUUUGAUUCCAUAUCUUAGAGGAAAAAAUUGAGAAAAUUCUGCAAGAAAUUGAUGUAGGCAAAGAUUUCUUGGACAAGACCCCAGAAACACAGGCAAUUAAAGCAAAAUAAACAAAUGGGAUUACAUCAAGCUAAGAAGCUUCCACACUACAAAAGAAAUACUCAAAGAAGUGAAGAAUCAACCUAAAGAAUGGGAGAAAAUAUUGUGAACUGAGCUGGAAUAAAAGUGGGAGUACA